GUCGCGGGCCGGGGUAGCUCUCUGAGGCGCCGGCUCUGGGGACCGCGGGUGCACGGUGAAGGAGCGGCGGGGGAAGGCUGUGGUGGGCGCCGGGUGCACCCGGCAGAUGCGCAGCGGGAGGGGGCUUUGAAGUGUUCUGCGUCUCUCUUUAAAAAUGGCCGCGUUAAUGACUUCUUAAAACCGGGCCGUGGUCAAACUGGCCACCUCCGGAGCGCGCAGCCCGCCGUGCUCCAGCGAGCGUCUUGCGGAGCGGGACGGGCGCUCCUCCGCAGGCGGCACCGGGGCUGCGGCCUGCGGCCCGGUCGGGAGCCCGAGCUCGGCGCUGGGCUUCCUCGGCAGUUUAGAUAUUUUGUGCAACUCCCAAUAUUCACCCAAGCCUCAUUACCACCUCUUAAUGAGACCCCUUUACUCCGUGACGUGCAACCGCUCCAUCUCAUUAAGGAAAUCGCUCUUCAAUGCUGAUUAUUUUAUUUGCAGCCAUAAUUAUAUUUCUUUCGGCUAAAUCACGGUUUAAUCGAGCCCACAUGGAGGGCAGCAGCACUAAUUACGGUGGGAGAUGCGGCGACGGCGGCUGCUCGCCCGCCCGGCCGGAGGAGGAGGUGACGGGGCGGGCGCGGGCUCGGCGCUCCCCUGGCGGGGCCCGGCCGGGGGCAGGGCGGAGGGCCGGGGACGAGAAGGUGGUCUCAAACACAACAACUUAUUACUUCUAAUUCCCCGACUGUCACCAAAUCACCUGCACGAAACAAGAAUCUAAUUUGUUAAGCUGGCAUUUCUGCAGAUGGAAGAUCGAUUUUCUCUUUAGAUUUCUCUAAUUGAGUGAAUAUAGACGCCCCGAAUUAGCCGCGCUGGGGCAAGAGGGGAAGGGAAGGGGAGAGGGAGGGAAAAGAAAAAAGUCAACAAAAAUCAUCCUUGUAAAAUAAACCAUAUUACCUCUAGAAUUGCCCCCCAAAUAAUAAAGGAAGGUGGAUCGAAAGGUCCCAGAUUGAGUGACAGUCAUAUUUCUGGAACUAACUGGUUUUUAAAAGAAAAGGUUAGGACGGGUGGAGAAUGCUAAGUAAUGGUGCGGGGGAGAGAUGGCUGAGCUCUGAAAUUGCUUACAGAAUUACAUUUGUUUUUCUUGUGAUUUUAUUAAAAGUCACUCCUCAUCUCCAGAAUGCGUGAAAAUAUCUACUUUCCACUCAGAUACACCACAUUAACUUGUUGGAGGCGAAUUUGUUUGUUUGUCUAUUUUAUUUAUUUGCCAGAUAAGAUUGAUGCAGUCUUAUUAGCGCUAUAUCUAGUUAGAGGAAGAGAUAAGGAUGAGAUGUUUUCUUUUAUUCCAAUUACUAGACUUGUCACCUAACUGAAUAACUGAUAUAUGAUUAUUUAUCUUGAGUAAAUAGAAAUCAGAAAAGCAGCCAACUUAACACAUACAAACAAAAUGUGUAUGUUUCUUAUUACUAAAUACCACCUAUGUAAUUGGAGAUUAAAACUACGGCCUUAAAAGGGAGAAAGUUAAAUACCCCAUUCACGUCCAUCUCUGAUGUGUAUCCUCUCAUUGCCACACAUGGUGGUUUAUUUUAUCCAGCCGGAUGAAGAGGUUUGGGGUUUAAAAUAUAUGGGUAUGUGUUAAGCAAAUUCAUCAAAGAUCAGUAGGAAGAGUCUUCGUGGAAGGGCGCUCUUUCCCUAAACAGAGGUGCAUCCGGAAAAUGCUUCGUACCGGCGCCGGUGCCUUCGCCCUCGGGGCAGCCCCAGCAAUUCCUAUCCUGCCGCACAAGGCAGGGCUCAGCAACCGGUUCGCUGUAGAGAGCUGCCCCGCAGCCUGCGGCGAGAAGACAGUCGGAAGCGCUGCCUUUGACUCCGCCGGAGCGAGAUGCAGAUAUUUAGAUAAAUAAGCAAAUGGCAAAACGCUGUUCUUGGCGAUGUUUGAGAACAGAUGACAGGAGGAGACCCGAGCUCUCCCCGUCACCCUCAGGAAGGCUGCUUUAAGAACUCCUGGCGGCUGUCUUUCUGAUCAGCAGCGAUCGUUCUUGCCUCGGAUGCCUUUAAACUUCAUAAAGUUGCUUUUAAAGAAGUAUAUUCAUUGCAGCUACGAAAUGCUGCAUGCAGCCUAGUGUCGUAAAGCAGCGAUGAUCGUCACAGUUAGUUCUGACUGGAAUGAAUAAAUUGGAAUCUGUAGCUGCUUGCAGCCUUGUCCUUCAUUUCCAAAGAAGUCAUAUUUUCGAGAGGGUUGACUGAAAUUAAAACACGUGUUUAUGUUUUUCCAUUUCUUAACUCCAAAUUACGCCUAACGAAAGGAUAUGGUUUGAUUUGUCAUUUGUGUUUAGGGUAUGCCGAUGUGGAAAAGUAAGCAAAUAACACUCAAAAGCAUAGCUGUAAUUUACAACGAAUUAAAAUUGAUUCUUUUCAUCACGCAAGAAAA